rnacentral:rRNA from 1 species
UUGAACGCUGGCGGCAUGCCUUACCCAUGCCAGUCGAACGGCAGCACGGGUGCUUGCCCCUGGUGGCGAGUGGCGAACGGGGGAGUAAUACAUCGGAACAUGUCCUGUAGUGGGGGAUAGCCCGGCGAAAGCCGGAUUAAUACCGCAUACGAUAUACGGAUGAAAGCGGGGGACCUUCGGGCCUCGCGCUAUAGGGUUGGCCGAUGGCUGAUUCGCUAGUUGGUGGGGUAAAGGCCUACCAAGGCGACGAUCAGUAGCCGGUCUGAGAGGACGACCAGCCACACUGGGACUGAGACACGGCCCAGACUCCUACGGGAGGCAGCAGUGGGGAAUUUUGGACAAUGGGCGAAAGCCUGAUCCAGCAAUGCCGCGUGUGUGAAGAAGGCCUUCGGGUUGUAAAGCACUUUUGUCCGGAAAGAAAUCCUUGGCUCUAAUACAGUCGGGGGAUGACGGUACCGGAAGAAUAAGCACCGGCUAACUACGUG